rnacentral:rRNA from 1 species
UACGUAGGGCGCGAGCGUUGUCCGGAAUCACUGGGCGUAAAGCGCACGUAGGCGGCUUACUAAGUCAGGGGUGAAAUCCUGGAGCUCAACUCCAGAACUGCCUUUGAUACUGGUGAGCUUGAGUCCGGAAGAGGUGAGUGGAACUGCGAGCGUAGAGGUGAAAUUCGUAGAUAUUCGCAAGAACACCAGUGGCGAAGGCGGCUCACUGGUCCGGUACUGACGCUGAGGUGCGAAAGCGUGGGGAGCAAACAGG